UACAGAGGUCUCAAGCGUUGUUCGGAUUCAUUGGGCGUAAAGGGUGUGUAGGUGGCGCGCUAAGUCGGGUGUGAAAUUUCGGAGCUUAACUCCGAAACUGCAUUCGAUACUGGCGGUGCUUGAGGACUGGAGAGGAGACUGGAAUUCAUGGUGUAGCAGUGAAAUGCGUAGAGAUCAUGAGGAAGACCAGUGGCGAAGGCGGGUCUCUGGACAGUUCCUGACACUGAGACGAAGGCCAGGGGAGCAAACAGGG
rnacentral:rRNA from 1 species